CUACGUACUGGGCGAACGUUAUUCGGAAUCACUGGGCUUAAGGGGUGCGUAGGCGGUCCGGCAAGUCAGAUGUGAAAUCCCCCGGCCCAACCGGGGAACUGCGUUUGAAACUGCCGGACUUGAGUGCGAUAGGGGUGUGCGGAACUUCCAGUGGAGCGGUGAAAUGUGUUGAUAUUGGAAGGAACGCCGGUGGCGAAAGCGGCACACUGGGUCGCAACUGACGCUGAGGCACGAAAGCCAGGGGAGCGAACGGGAUUAGAAACCCCAGUAGUCC
rnacentral:rRNA from 1 species